rnacentral:rRNA from 1 species
UACGGAGGGUGCGAGCGUUGUCCGGAAUCAUUGGGCGUAAAGGGCGCGUAGGUGGCGACCCAAGUCGAUGGUGAAAGCUCGCCGCUCAACGGCGAGUCGGCCACCGAUACUGGGUUGCUUGAGCACUGUAGAGGCUAAUGGAAUUCCGGGUGUAGCGGUGGAAUGCGUAGAGAUCCGGAAGAACACCGGUGGCGAAGGCGGGUUCACUGGGGCAGUUACU